rnacentral:rRNA from 1 species
UAGUUCUAACCCUAAACGAUGCUGACCAGCUAUUCGCCGUCGUUAUUCCCAUGACGUGGCGAGACGCCCCCGGGAAACCUCGAGUCUUUGAGUUCCGGGGGUAGUAUGGUUGCAAAACUGAAACUUAAAGGAAUUGACGGAAGGGCACCACCAGGAGUGGAGCCUGCGGCUUAAUUUGACUCAACACGGGAAACCUCACCAGGCCCGGACACCAGAAGGAUUGACAGAUUAAGAGCUCUUUCUCAAUUUGGUGGGUGGUGGUGCAUGGCCGUUCUUAGUUGGUGGAGUGAUUUGUCUGGUUAAUUCCGGUAACGAACGAGACUCUGGCCUACUAACUAGUGGGUGGGUGUUCCGGUAAGGGGCCCCAUCCGACAAUGUCUUCUUAGAGGGAUGAGCAGCGAGUAUAGCUGCAGGAAAUUGAGCAAUAACAGGUCUG